rnacentral:piRNA from 1 species
UGGCAGAGAAGGCCUUGUCUGAAGGCUACGCC